rnacentral:lncRNA from 1 species
GAGGCGUAACAGCAGAGAAUGUUUUCGGUAUCACUCCUGCAUGACAAUGCCUAUUGAAACCGUUGUUCUCCUCUCACAUCCCUCAAGCAUUUUGUUCAAAGCUGCCCAGCUGAACCAGAGCUGUAGCGUUGUUCCAGCUUAGUAGAACUCUUCUAUUUUCUUAAACAGACAGACAUAAACCUAGAAUAAAAAAUACUUACACUUCGAUUUCUUUUAAUCUUUCCCCAGAUUUACGGGUAAAAUGUAUGUACCGAGAAGACCGAGGUGUUUCAGCUGCUGAGCAUGCUGGCACCCUCUCCCGAGCUGGAUCAAGGACUGUUCUCUGCAAACGAAGCAGAUGCAGCUUUGAAGCUGCUGCCUCCUGGAAGCAGAGCCUCAGAUGCUUGCUGCUACCACCUGCCCGUGCCCGGUACAGCUCGGUGCAUCCAAGGUACCCAGGAGACCCUCUCCAGAGCGUUAGCAGCUCUGGGAUGAACACCAACAGCACAAGAUGCGUCUUGCCUGAGUGUUGA